UACGUAGGGUGCGAGCGUUAAUCGGAAUUACUGGGCGUAAAGCGUGCGCAGGCGGUUUUGUAAGCCAGAUGUGAAAUCCCCGGGCUUAACCUGGGAAUGGCAUUUGGGACUGCAAGGCUUGAGUGCGGCAGAGGAGACUAGAAUUCCUGGUGUAGCAGUGAAAUGCGUAGAUAUCAGGAGGAAUACCGAUGGCGAAGGCAGGUCUCUGGAACGGUACUGACGCUGAGACGCGAAAGCGUGGGGAGCGAACAGG
rnacentral:rRNA from 1 species